rnacentral:tRNA from 1 species
AUCUUUCUAGUAUCAAAUUAGUACAUGUGACUUCCAAUCACCUAGCCUUGGUUAAAAUCCAAGGAAAGAUA